UCGAUAGAGGCGCGGUGCGCAAAAGUACCUUCUCCAUAAAGGAAGCGGGCUUCCGGAGGCGGGAAAGGGCAAACCGCCGAAGUGUUUUAGCCGCCCGGGCGAAAAAUGCUGGGACGUCGGAGAAUAUCCGCCGUACUGUCACAUUUGUGGAGCGCUAUCAU
rnacentral:ncRNA from 1 species